rnacentral:tRNA from 1 species
GCACUCGUAGCUCAGCUGGAUAGAGUACACGACUACGAAUCGUGUGGUCAGAGGUUCAAAUCCUCUCGAGUGCA